AGCAGCCGCGGUAAUUCCAGCUCCAAUAGCGUAUAUUAAAGUUGUUGCAGUUAAAAAGCUCGUAGUUGAAUUUCGGGAUUAACGUAAUGGUCGUGCCUUAAGGGGUAUGAACUGUUACUGUUGAUUUCUCACCUUCUGGAGAAUCUUGAUGUCCUUAAUUGGGUGUCUUGUGGAUCCAGGACCUUUACCUUGAAAAAUUAGAGUGUUUAAAGCAGGCAUUUUGCUCGAAUACAUUAGCAUGGAGUAAUAGAAUAGGACGGCAUGGUUCUAUUUUGUUGGUUUCUAGGAUCACCGUAAUGAUUAAUAGGGAUAGUUGGGGGCAUUAGUAUUCAAUUGUCAGAGGUGAAAUUCUUGGAUUUAAUUGAAGACUAACUACUGCGAA
rnacentral:misc_RNA from 1 species